rnacentral:rRNA from 1 species
UGCGCAGGCGGUUCGUUGUGUCCGAUGUGAAAGCCCCGGGCUUAACCUGGGAAUGGCAUUGGAAACUGGCGAGCUUGAGUGCGGCAGAGGGGGGUGGAAUUCCGCGUGUAGCAGUGAAAUGCGUAGAGAUGCGGAGGAACACCGAUGGCGAAGGCAGCCCCCUGGGUCGACACUGACGCUCAGGCACGAAAGCGUGGGGAGCAAACA